AUUGAACGCUGGCGGCAUGCCUUACACAUGCAAGUCGAACGGUAACGGGCCUUCGGGUGCCGACGAGUGGCGAACGGGUGAGUAAUACAUCGGAACGUGCCCGAUCGUGGGGGAUAACGAGGCGAAAGCUUUGCUAAUACCGCAUACGAUCUACGGAUGAAAGCAGGGGACCGCAAGGCCUUGCGCGGACGGAGCGGCCGAUGGCAGAUUAGGUAGUUGGUGGGAUAAAAGCUUACCAAGCCGACGAUCUGUAGCUGGUCUGAGAGGAUGAUCAGCCACACUGGGACUGAGACACGGCCCAGACUCCUACGGGAGGCAGCAGUGGGGAAUUUUGGACAAUGGGCGCAAGCCUGAUCCAGCCAUGCCGCGUGCAGGAUGAAGGCCUUCGGGUUGUAAACUGCUUUUGUACGGAACGAAAAGCCUUCUUUUAAUACAGGAGGUCAUGACGGUACCGUAAGAAUAAGCACCGGCUAACUACGUG
rnacentral:rRNA from 1 species